UACGGAGGGUGCAAGCGUUAAUCGGAAUUACUGGGCGUAAAGCGUGCGCAGGCGGUUUGUUAAGUCCGCUGUGAAAUCCCCGAGCUCAACUUGGGAAUUGCAGUGGAUACUGGCAAGCUGGAGUAUGGUAGAGGAAGGUGGAAUUCCCGGUGUAGCGGUGAAAUGCGCAGAUAUCGGGAGGAACACCGGUGGCGAAGGCGGUUCUCUGGGCCUUACCUGACGCUGAGGAGCGAAAGCGUGGGAAGCGAACAGG
rnacentral:rRNA from 1 species